GGCGAGUGGCGAACGGGUGAGUAAUACAUCGGAACGUGCCCUGUAGUGGGGGAUAACUAGUCGAAAGAUUAGCUAAUACCGCAUACGACCUGAGGGUGAAAGUGGGGGACCGCAAGGCCUCAUGCUAUAGGAGCGGCCGAUGUCUGAUUAGCUAGUUGGUGAGGUAAAGGCUCACCAAGGCGACGAUCAGUAGCUGGUCUGAGAGGACGAUCAGCCACACUGGGACUGAGACACGGCCCAGACUCCUACGGGAGGCAGCAGUGGGGAAUUUUGGACAAUGGGCGAAAGCCUGAUCCAGCAAUGCCGCGUGUGUGAAGAAGGCCUUCGGGUUGUAAAGCACUUUUGUCCGGAAAGAAAUGGCUCUGGUUAAUACCUGGGGUCGAUGACGGUACCGGAAGAAUAAGGACCGGCUAACUACGUGCCAGCAGCCGCGGUAAUACGUAGGGUCCAAGCGUUAAUCGGAAUUACUGGGCGUAAAGCGUGCGCAGGCGGUUGUGCAAGACCGAUGUGAAAUCCCCGAGCUUAACUUGGGAAUUGCAUUGGUGACUGCACGGCUAGAGUGUGUCAGAGGGGGGUAGAAUUCCACGUGUAGCAGUGAAAUGCGUAGAGAUGUGGAGGAAUACCGAUGGCGAAGGCAGCCCCCUGGGAUAACACUGACGCUCAUGCACGA
rnacentral:rRNA from 1 species